rnacentral:rRNA from 1 species
UACGAAGGGGGGCUAGCGUUGCUCGGAAUUACUGGGCGUAAAGGGCGCGUAGGCGGACAGUUUAGUCAGAGGUGAAAGCCCAGGGCUCAACCUUGGAAUUGCCUUUGAUACUGGCUGUCUUGAGUUCGGGAGAGGUGAGUGGAAUGCCGAGUGUAGAGGUGAAAUUCGUAGAUAUUCGGCGGAACACCGGUGGCGAAGGCGACUCACUGGCCCGAUACUGACGCUGAGGCGCGAAAGCGUGGGUGACGCAAA